rnacentral:rRNA from 1 species
GUGUCAGCAGCCGCGGUAAUACGGAGGGUGCGAGCGUUACCCGGAUUUACUGGGCGUAAAGGGCGUGUAGGCGGUUUUCUAAGUCCGGGGCUAAAGACCAGGGCUCAACCCUGGGUUUGCCUUGGAUACUGGAAAGCUCGACGGCUGGAGGGGGCAGCGGAAUUUCCGGAGUAGCGGUGAAAUGCGCAGAUACCGGAAGGAACGCCAAUAGCGAAGGCAGCUGCCUGGACAGUACGUGACGCUGAGGCGCGAAAGCGUGGGGAGCAAACCGGAUUAGAAACCCUCGUAGUCC